AACGAACGCUGGCGGCAUGCCUAACACAUGCAAGUCGAACGAUCCCUUCGGGGAUAGUGGCGCACGGGUGCGUAACGCGUGGGAACCUGCCCUUAGGUUCGGAAUAACUCAGAGAAAUUUGAGCUAAUACCGGAUAAUGUCUUCGGACCAAAGAUUUAUCGCCUUUGGAUGGGCCCGCGUUGGAUUAGCUAGUUGGUGGGGUAAAGGCCUACCAAGGCGACGAUCCAUAGCUGGUCUGAGAGGAUGAUCAGCCACACUGGGACUGAGACACGGCCCAGACUCCUACGGGAGGCAGCAGUGGGGAAUAUUGGACAAUGGGCGAAAGCCUGAUCCAGCAAUGCCGCGUGAGUGAUGAAGGCCUUAGGGUUGUAAAGCUCUUUUACCCGGGAUGAUAAUGACAGUACCGGAAGAAUAAGCCCCGGCUAACUCCGUG
rnacentral:rRNA from 1 species